GUGGGGAAUUUUGGACAAUGGGCGCAAGCCUGAUCCAGCAAUGCCGCGUGCAGGAAGAAGGCCUUCGGGUUGUAAACUGCUUUUGUACGGAACGAAACGGUCCUGGUUAAUACCUGGGGCUAAUGACGGUACCGUAAGAAUAAGCACCGGCUAACUACGUGCCAGCAGCCGCGGUAAUACGUAGGGUGCGAGCGUUAAUCGGAAUUACUGGGCGUAAAGCGUGCGCAGGCGGUGCUGUAAGACAGGCGUGAAAUCCCCGGGCUCAACCUGGGAAUUGCGCUUGUGACUGCAGUGCUGGAGUACGGCAGAGGGGGAUGGAAUUCCGCGUGUAGCAGUGAAAUGCGUAGAUAUGCGGAGGAACACCGAUGGCGAAGGCAAUCCCCUGGGCCUGCACUGACGCUCAUGCACGAAAGCGUGGGGAGCAAACAGGAUUAGAUACCCUGGUAGUCC
rnacentral:rRNA from 1 species